rnacentral:rRNA from 1 species
GAUGAACGCUGGCGGCGUGCCUAAUACAUGCAAGUCGAGCGAACAGACGAGGAGCUUGCUCCUCUGACGUUAGCGGCGGACGGGUGAGUAACACGUGGAUAACCUACCUAUAAGACUGGGAUAACUUCGGGAAACCGGAGCUAAUACCGGAUAAUAUAUUGAACCGCAUGGUUCAAUAGUGAAAGACGGUUUUGCUGUCACUUAUAGAUGGAUCCGCGCCGCAUUAGCUAGUUGGUAAGGUAACGGCUUACCAAGGCAACGAUGCGUAGCCGACCUGAGAGGGUGAUCGGCCACACUGGAACUGAGACACGGUCCAGACUCCUACGGGAGGCAGCAGUAGGGAAUCGUCCGAAAUGGGCGAAAGCCUGACGGAGCAACGCCGCGUGAGUGAUGAAGGCCUUCGGAUCGUAAAACUCUGUUAUUAGGGAAGAACAAAUGUGUAAGUAACUAUGCACGUCUUGACGGUACCUAAUCAGAAAGCCACGGCUAACUACG